rnacentral:misc_RNA from 1 species
GAUGAAGAACGUAGUGAAAUGCGAUAAGUAAUGUGAAUUGCAGAAUUCAGUGAAUCAUCGAAUCUUUGAACGCACAUUGCGCCCGCCAGUAUUCUGGCGGGCAGGCCUGUUCGAGCGUCAUUACAACCCUCAGGCCCCCGGGCCUGGCGUUGGGGAUCGGCGGAGCCCCCCGUGGGCACACGCCGUCCCCCAAAUGCAGUGGCGGUCCCGCCGCAGCUUCCAUCGCGUAGUAGCUAACACCUCGCGACUGGAGAGCGGCGCGGCCACGCCGUAAAACACCCAACUCUUCUGAAGUUGACCUCGAAUCAGGUAGGAAUACCCGCUGAACUUAAGCAUAUCAAUAAGCGGAGGA